rnacentral:lncRNA from 1 species
GUUUCGUGCGCACCUCCGGGCGGAAUUACCGGCCGGCUGGGACCCCGCUCCCGGUCUGAGCCACCCAGGUUAUAGAAGGGGAAUCUCGGGAAGCUUUCCAAGUCACUGCCCACGUCUUCGAACUUCCUCGGGGUGACGAGGACCUCCCUAUUAGGAGGUCCAGAGAGAAUUUGCCCAAAGUUACCCCGAGUGAGUGACAGAACUGGAAACCCGGAGAUCCUGUCUUUCAAAACCGGAAGGCUCUUCCCAGUAAACCUGACGGCCUCUGACUGAGGCCGUAUCCAUUGGCUACCAAAGGGAAGGCCGAGGAACCUCGUAUUGUAACCUUAACAGCUACUCAGAGGCCCCAGCUUAUAAAUCUAUGAAGGUGUCCAGGUCCUGCCAGACUCCGCUGCAUCUUUUGCUUUCACUCCAGCAGGGUAGCAGCAUGCUGCCUGUGCCAAGGCAAUCACUAAAAGGAAAGGAUUUAAUGCUGUCAAAAAAGCUUAUGCCAGCUUAGGCUGCAGGAAGAGGAACAGUGUCAAGUAUGUUGAAAGUGGACAUAUUGGUCAGACCUCCAUGAGAGCCUAGGGGGCAUUGCUUAGCAGCACGCUUUUAAAGGAAUCUGAACAAACCAGCAUGUGGAAAGAAGAGAGUAACCACAGCAAUCAGGAAACAACUGUACAAUCUAGGGCCAUUUCAUUGGAAAAACAGAAGUCUCCAGGGAGCUGCAGUCAUCAAACAGGCUUAUUCUGUGUACCCAGUGGGCAAGUACAGUCAAUGGAUGAAAAUUCAACCAAUGGACAAACACAGGAAGUUUUUCCUUAACAUGAGUUGUCAGAAACUGUCCAAAAUUCCAAAGAGCUGCCUCAAGGUAGUGGAAAUUUUUUUUUUUUUUUAAUCAGGAAGGUGCUGAAUGAAGCCAGCAAGGAUUCUGUGUCAGAGGGUGGUAGAUACCCAGGACAUAAGGUUGAACCACGUGACCUCUGAGACCACAGUUCUAAGCUGUUGAAACCUCAGUCCCUGCUGAAUACUGAAAUGGUAUUAGCACCCUUUAGUCUACAUCAAGAAUUCGUUCUACCCAGUUUUGGUGGUACCAAGACUGAUCUCUUUCUCAUAGAUAAUUCUUAACAGAAUAAAAGCUACAGGUUGAAACCAAUUCCCUUUAAAAUGUGGACAGUUGACCAUCUCCAUGAUAGGUAGUUAGGCACUGAAUUAAUGCUUUUUAAUGGAAGAGCCACCCUAAGAUUCCUGGAGUGUGGUAUAAUGGAGUACUAAAUCAGCAUAGGACUAAUAACUGCCUCCCGUGUAAACUGGUCUAUCCGGAGAGUGGUAUAGCCUCUCAUACAGUGUUCAAAGGCAGAUUUAACUCACUGCAGGUCCACAGCAACCGAUAAGAUAAACUCGUUGGUUAUGGUCUCCCACUUUGCAAAGGAGAGCACAGAGGAAGAGGAAACUGAGAUAACUUGGUUUAGGACCCCACAGCUGGCUGGAGCUGGGCUGAACAUUAGUUCAUUGUUUCUUCGAUUAAUCUAUGCUGCUUUUUCUCUACUUGGCUCCUUUUCUAAAUUAAACAAAACAAAACAAAAAACACUGGGCACAGAGUGGUGUAUAUGUGUGUGAGAGAGAGACAGAGAUAGAGAAAGACUAAGCGAAAGAGAAAAGAGAGAGGCUGAGUGAGAUUCAGAUAAAAUAAGGCACAAGUCAUGGGCUAGUCUGUUGUACAGUGUACUUGUCAUAUAUUUGAAUGCCUUUAACAAUGGAGACAGUUUUGAUGGAAAUAGGGCCUUGAAGAAAUGCAUAUCCGCACCCUGGUGGUAUGUUAUAACUAAACGGGUUGGUUUUUUGUUUCGGAGUUUUUUGGGUUUCUUUUUAAUGCAAAGGUAUAUAUUUAAAAUACCCUGUAGCUUCCUUCUCUCCUUCAUUUCAUUUCCUUAAGUAUGAGAGAGGUUUUCUGGAUGACGGGACAUCCAAACUGGAAGUGCCCUCAGAUCCCAUCAACUCCCAUCCCCAUGUUUGAGAAGCACGUAAAGUAAGCUCCAGAAGAGCUCCCAGACAACGUCGGCACACAAUUAUCAGAGGACUUUUCCCUGAUGGCAGAAAGCUACUGACAUUUCCA